rnacentral:rRNA from 1 species
CAGCCGUAAACUAUGCGCGUUAGGUGUAUCGGUGACCACGAGUUACCGAGGUGCCGAAGGGAAACCGUGAAACGUGCCGCCUGGGAAGUACGGUCGCAAGGCUGAAACUUAAAGGAAUUGGCGGGGGAGCACCGCAACGGGAGGAGCGUGCGGUUUAAUUGGACUCAACGCCGGGAAGCUCACCGGAUAAGACAGCGGAAUGAUUGCCGGGCUGAAGACUCUGCAUGACUAGCUGAGAGGAGGUGCAUGGCGUAGACGUCU